GUAAACAUUACGACGACGUUCCAGAUCUCUAUCUAUCUCCUGUUCAGUCAGUGCACUUCUUUUUUCUCUAGCAUGGACACGACGUUGUUCCAACUUUGAUUCCCUAUCAUUCCCUGGAAUAAAAGUGUAUCAUACUCUUUGUUCCUGACGUUGAGCCUGGUCGAUAAGCCUUGGACUUUUGCGAGGUCUGGAGCUAGAGGCCUGGUGGCACUCCAAUGAAGAAGCAAUACGUGUCAAACUUUCACAGGAUUUCUUUAUUGAGGAAUAAAUGGAUCCCACUGAAGGAACUGCGAUGCAAUUAUAGAGAUUAGAUUGUGAAAUCGAUAAGAACCUUUCCUUAUCUACUUAUAUCAACUAAAUCUACUUAUGAUGUUGCAAAUGGCGCAUGAGCUGUAGUACUUGCUUGCCGCUUCGUAUCGUUAAUCUCGCCUUCAACUGUUUGAUGCGGCCGUUUAUGGUAAGCAAUGCGACGACGUUCACGAUCUCUUUGUAUUUCUUCUUCAGUCAAUGCAUUUUUUCUCCCUCUUUCACGGAUACGCCGUUGUUCCAGCAUUAAUGCCCUAUCAUUCUCUGAUGCAAAAGUGUUUCUUAUUCUCUGGUAAAUAUUACGCUCCUUUUCCA